GUAGGGAAUCUUCCACAAUGGACGAAAGUCUGAUGGAGCAACGCCGCGUGAGUGAAGAAGGUUCUCGGAUCGUAAAACUCUGUUGUGAGGGAAGAACAAGUACCGGAGUAACUGCCGGUACCUUGACGGUACCUCAUUAGAAAGCCACGGCUAACUACGUGCCAGCAGCCGCGGUAAUACGUAGGUGGCAAGCGUUGUCCGGAAUCAUUGGGCGUAAAGCGCGCGCAGGCGGUCCCUUAAGUCUGAUGUGAAAGCCCACGGCUCAAUCGUGGAGGGUCAUUGGAAACUGGGGGACUUGAGUGCAGAAGAGGAAAGCGGAAUUCCAAGUGUAGCGGUGAAAUGCGUAGAGAUUUGGAGGAACACCAGUGGCGAAGGCGGCUUUCUGGUCUGUAACUGACGCUGAGGCGCGAAAGCGUGGGGAGCAAACAGGAUUAGAAACCCCUGUAGUCC
rnacentral:rRNA from 1 species